GGAAGUAAAAGUCGUGACAAGGUUUCCGUAGGUGAACCUGCGGAAGGAUCAUUAUUGUAUAACCGAGGUGCGAGGGCUGUCGCUGACCCGAAAGGUCGUGCACGCCCGAGUGCCCUCACACACAUCCAUCUCACCCCUAUGUGCACCACCGCGUGUGUCCCCCUUUGGCUUGUUCGGAGGGGGGCUUACGUUUUCACACAAACUUAGUGUGCAGUGUAGAAUGUAUUUUUUGUUUUUGCGAUCACGCAAUCAAUACAACUUUCAACAACGGAUCUCUUGGCUCUC
rnacentral:misc_RNA from 1 species